UGCAAAAAAAAAAAAAAAGUGACAAAUUUUUGCGGACUAAAUGUGGGUCUUCAUGCAAAGAUUUAUGAACACAAAUAAAAUAAAGUUGAAAUGUUAACAAUUUUAUAUAACAGACUAAUUAAUACGAAGUAUUCGAUUAGGAAAGAAAAACUAUAAUAAGAAAAUAGAGAUGGGGCAUUCCGAGAAUUGAACUCGGGACCUCUCGCACCCUAAGCGAGAAUCAUACCACUAGACCAAAUGCCCAUUGUUGAAUCCUGAAGAAACUUAUAGUUAUAUAAAUUGUUGUAAUUAGAAUGGGCCUGAAUGCCUAACACGGUUCCUAGGACUACUCGAAAACAAAUCAAACAUAGUAAUUGUGACCCAAAUCAAUUAAUCAAUCAAACAUACAAAACUGCAAUUCAUUUUUAGGGUUCUUUCAGAAAUCGGAUCAAAAGAGGAGAGAGAAAAAGGAGAGCAUUGAAAAAAUGGUAGGAGCAUCAUCAACAGGAAUGUUCAAGUUUUUGAAGCCAACGAUGCGACCUCAAACAACCGAUAUUAAAGCCGCCGUUGGUUGGGGUGUCGCCGCCGCCACCGGAGGCCUUUAUCUCGUCCAGCCCUGGGGUUGGAUCAAGAGGACUUUUAUUGACAAGCCAGAAGAGGAGAAUAAAUGAAGUUGAAGCUUUGCCAAAAUCCUCCUUGUGGUCUUGGAAGAAUAUUGUACCCAGCCUUGAAAUCUAAUAAUACGUUAUGGUUUUUACUAUUUCCUGUCUAAGAGAUGGCGAGGCUUUUUGGUGUUAGUUUUUGCAAUCAACAUUGAAACUAAUUUAGACGGAUUACAGUUAUAUCCUUUCAAUGAUUCAUUUCAUUUUUGCAAAUUGCAAUAAGCACUCUCAACACUAUUGGAGAUGGGUUUCUGGUUUAAAUCUAAAGCUAAAUGUAUGAUGUAUUUAGUUUAGCCGAUUUUGUUAAAGUUUGAGAGACUGUUUCAUUUCA